AGGGGACAUCUGUCAUCAAUUGAAGUGGCUGGGUUUCAAGAAGAAUGAUGAGAAGCAGGCACUUCUUGUGCAGCAAAGAUGGCCACGUUAUGAUGUAUGAGCUUGCUAAGAGGGCAACCACCAGUGUGAAGCUUAACACUACAUUUCACUGACAAUGAAAUGGUAUAGGCGAGUUAGCGAGUGUACCUGAAGUAGAUGUGCAUGGUGUUCUUGCUGCUCAGCUUCAUCCCAGAGAACAAGCUCGUGGUCAGGUUGUUCUGGUGAUUUAAACUAUUCAUAGUAUCCAUCUAGAUUCUAGAUUGGGUUCAUUAUUAGAGCAUGAAAAAACUUCCAUUGUUUCUGAAGUGUAAGAUUCAGGAAUAAGAGUUGCACAUUUGUAUUUUUCCAAAAUAUUUGCACAAUACAUUAAGUUAAUGAUGAAUUCCAAGCAU